rnacentral:rRNA from 1 species
UCCGGUUGAUCCUGCCGGAGGCCACUGCUAUGGGGGUCCGACUAAGCCAUGCGAGUCAUGGGGCGCCUUGCGCGCACCGGCGGACGGCUCAGUAACACGUCGGUAACCUACCCUCGGGAGGGGGAUAACCCCGGGAAACUGGGGCUAAUCCCCCGUAGGCCUGAGGUACUGGAAGGUCCUCAGGCCGAAAGGGUCUUUGACCGCCCGAGGAUGGGCCGGCGGCCGAUUAGGUAGUUGGUGGGGUAACGGCCCACCAAGCCGAAGAUCGGUACGGGCCAUGAGAGUGGGAGCCCGGAGAUGGACACUGAGACACGGGUCCAGGCCCUACGGGGCGCAGCAGGCGCGAAACCUCCGCAAUGCUCGAAAGAGCGACGGGGGGACCCCCAGUGCCGUGGCAUCGCCACGGCUUUUCCGGAGUGUAAAGAGCUCCGGGAAUAAGGGCUGGGCAAGGCCGGUGGCAGCCGCCGCGGUAAUACCGGCGGCCCGAGUGGUGGCCGCUAUUAUUGGGCCUAAAGCGUCCGUAGCCGGGCCAGUAAGUCCCUGGCGAAAUCCCACGGCUCAACCGUGGGGCUUGCUGGGGAUACUGCUGGCCUUGGGACCGGGAGAGGCGGAGGGUACUCCUGGGGUAGGGGUGAAAUCCUAUA